GACGAACGCUGGCGGCGUGCCUAAUACAUGCAAGUAGAACGCAGAGGGAGGAGCUUGCUUCUCUGGAUGAGUUGCGAACGGGUGAGUAACGCGUAGGUAACCUGCCUGUUACCGGGGGAUAACUAUUGGAAACGAUAGCUAAUACCGCAUAAGAGUAGAUGUUGCAUGACAUUUGCUUAAAAGUUGCAAUUGCAUCACUACCAGAUGGAGCUGCGUUGGUUUAGGUAGUUGUUGGGGUAACGGCUCACCAAGGCGACGAUACAUAGCCGACCUGAGAGGGGGGUCGGCAACACUGGGAAUGAGACACGGCCCAGAAUCCUACGGGAGGCAGCAGUAGGGGAUCUUCGGCAAUGGAGGGAAGUCUGACCGGGCAACGCCGCGGGAGGGAAGAAGGUUGUCGGAUCGGAAAGCUCUGGUGUAAGAGAAGAAAGAGUGGGAGAGUGGAAAGUUCACACUGUGACGGUAUCUUACCAGAAAGGGACGGCUAACUACGUG
rnacentral:rRNA from 1 species